rnacentral:rRNA from 1 species
UACGAAGGGAGCUAGCGUUGUUCGGAAUCACUGGGCGUAAAGCGCACGUAGGCGGAUGUGUCAGUCAGGGGUGAAAUCCCGGAGCUCAACUUCGGAACUGCCUUUGAUACAGCACGUCUUGAGUCCGAUAGAGGUGGGUGGAAUUCCUAGUGUAGAGGUGAAAUUCGUAGAUAUUAGGAAGAACACCGGUGGCGAAGGCGGCCCACUGGGAUCGGGUACUGACGCUGAGGUGCGAAAGCGUGGGGAGCAAACAGG